rnacentral:rRNA from 1 species
GACGAACGCUGGCGGCGUGCUUAACACAUGCAAGUCGAACGGAAAGGCCCCUUUGGGGGUCCUCGAGUGGCGAACGGGUGAGUAACACGUGAGUAACCUGCCCUUGACUUCGGGAUAACUUCAGGAAACUGGGGCUAAUACCGGAUAGGAAUCCUUGCUGCAUGGUGGGGGUUGGAAAGCUUCGGCGGUUUUGGAUGGACUCGCGGCUUAUCAGCUUGUUGGUGGGGUAGUGGCUUACCAAGGCUUUGACGGGUAGCCGGCCUGAGAGGGCGACCGGCCACAUUGGGACUGAGAGACGGCCCAGACUCCGACGGGAGGCAGCAGUGGGGAAUAUUGCACAAUGGGCGGAAGCCUGAUGCAGCAACGCCGCGUGCGGGAGGACGGCCUUCGGGUUGGAAACCGCUUUCAGCAGGGGCGAAGCUUGUGGUGACGGUACCUGCAGAAGAAGCACCGGCUAACUACGUG